GUGUCAGCAGCCGCGGUAAGACAGAGGGGGCAAGCGUUGUCCGGAUUGACUGGGCGUACAGCGCGCGCAGGCGGCAGCGUAUGUGCCCGGUGACAGCCCACGGCUCAACCGUGGGUCGCCCGAGUACACAGCGCUACUGGAGGCAGGGAGAGGGUCGUGGAAUGCCCGGUGGAGCGGUGAAAUGCGUAGAGAUCGGGCGGAACACCAGCGGCGAAGGCGGCGACCUGGCCCUGACCUGACGCUGAGGCGCGAGAGCGUGGGGAGCGAACGGGAUUAGAUACCCUCGUAGUCC
rnacentral:rRNA from 1 species